GGGGCUGACAGGAUUUCUACAUUUUGGUAUUAUAUCUAAGUUUUAUUUAAUUAAUUGUAUUUAUUAUUACUUUGUAUCAAAUGAUUCUUGUACUAAUAAAACUAUAUAUCUGCAAAACAUAAUAUUGUAUCUUUUUCUAAGACUUUAGCAACAGCAUAAAUUCUUAAACCUCUAAAUUGUAUUCUCUUUAUGCAAUUUAUUUAUUUUUUUAAAGAAGACUCUAAUUACAAAUUUGAAUCUGAAUUUUUUUAUUAUUCUCUAUAGUAUUUAGUGAAGUAUAAACUACUUUAUUUGAGUAUUCUAAUUAAAUAUUAAUAACUAAGCUGCUAUAUCAAUAUGGACGUGGGUUCAAGUCCCACCAGUUCCA
rnacentral:tmRNA from 1 species